GACGAACGCUGGCGGCGUGCUUAACACAUGCGAGUCUAACGUAAAUGCUCUGCUUUUGUGGGUUGCUCGAGUGGCGAACGGGUGAGUAACACGUGACUCACCUGCCCUUGACUUUGGGAUAACUUCAGGAAACUGGGGCUAAUACCGGAUAUGAGCCCCUGCUGCAUUGUGGGGUUUGGACAGUUUCGGCGGUUGGGGAUGGACUCGCGGCUUCUCAGCUUGUUGGUGGGGUAGUGGCUUACCAAGGCGUUGACGGGUAGCCGGCCUGAGAGGGUGACCGGCCACAGUGGGACUGAGAUACGGCCCAGACUCCUACGGGAAGCAGAAGUGGGGAAUAUUGAACAAUGGGCGGAAGACUGAUGCAGCAACGCCGCGUGCGGGAUGACGGCCUUCGGGUUGUAAACCGCUUUCGCCUGUGACGAAGCGUGAGUGACGGUAAUGGGUAAAGAAGCACCGGCUAACUACGUG
rnacentral:rRNA from 1 species